rnacentral:sRNA from 1 species
UAAAUCGAACUCCCGGGCCUAUCUAAAUUAUUGAUAAGCAUAUUGUUAAACGUUUGCGUCAGCGGACGGUUUUUUCUGCGAAAAACAUCGCUUUUCUGUCCGGUAUUGAGUCAUCAGGGCAGGAAAUAACGUCUGAAAAGGGCGCGGACGCAACCGAUAUUGCGCGCUGUUGCGCAACAAAGGGGGGAUUCUAACAAGGCUGUGCGGAUAAAACGAGAUUUUUACCCACGCGUAUGUGAAAAUGCUUUCACCUUACAAACGUCAGGGUUAAAGGAGAGGGGAUGAGUACCGAUUUAAAACUGUCAUUAAUGACGACGGCAGCCGCACUGUUAAUGAUCAUCGCGUUUAGCUUCACCGCUAUUCUGCACUAGCCG